UUGGUACUCCCUCCGUCCAACAAAAGAUGUCUCAAGUUUGUCAAAAUUUGGAUGUAUCUAGACAUGACUUAGUGUAUAGCUGCAUUCAAAUUUAGUCAAAGUUGAGAAAUCCUUUGUUUGACGGAGUUAGUAUAAA
rfam:Brachypodium distachyon strain Bd21 chromosome 5, whole genome shotgun sequence.